rnacentral:rRNA from 1 species
GUGCCUAACACAUGCAAGUCGAGCGAGAAAAGGGGGGCAACUCCCUGAGUACAGCGGCGCACGGGUGAGUAACACGUGGGUAAUCUGCCCUGAAGUGGGGAAUAACACCGGGAAACCGGUGCUAAUACCGCAUACGAUCACGAUGUCUGCGGAUGUUGUGAUGAAAGGAGCAAUUCGCUUCAGGAGGAGCCCGCGGCUGAUUAGCUAGUUGGUGAGGUAACGGCUCACCAAGGCAACGAUCAGUAUCCGGUCUGAGAGGACGGUCGGACACACUGGAACUGAGACACGGUCCAG